CAGUGCCCAUGGUGCAGUGUGAUGUGGCAUGCCAGAACAGCACGUGCUACAAAGAGGACAUGCUAGGAUGCUGCCAUCCUCAGUGCGUGGGCGGCUGCACGGACGGCUGGAUCAAUUCCGCAUGUCACUACUGUCGCCAUUUCUACUACAAAGGCAGGUGUAUAGAAGACUGUCCAGACGGCACAUAUUAUAUUGGCGGGGACUGUAUAGAUCUCAACUGAGACUAACGGCACUUAAUGACAUCGGCGAUGACUUCAUGUAUCUAGGAAUAGCGGCACUAAUACCAGGAUGUUUUUUUGUGCCAAUCUAUUGUAUUUUCCUUAUAAUGAUCAAUUACAUGAAUAAAUAAUGCUGAU